ACAGCAGUAGCCGCGGGAAUACGUAGGUGGCAAGCGUUAAUCGGAAUAACUGGGCGUAAAGGGCACGCAGGCGGUGACUUAAGUGAGGUGUGAAAGCCCCGGGCUUAACCUGGGAAUUGCAUUUCAUACUGGGUCGCUAGAGUACUUUAGGGAGGGGUAGAAUUCCACGUGUAGCGGUGAAAUGCGUAGAGAUGUGGAGGAAUACCGAAGGCGAAGGCAGCCCCUUGGGAAUGUACUGACGCUCAUGUGCGAAAGCGUGGGGAGCAAACAGGAUUAGAUACCCCUGUAGUCCCUGUCUCUUAUAC
rnacentral:rRNA from 1 species